rnacentral:rRNA from 1 species
GAGGUGAUCAGGUAGAGAAUACCAAGGCGAUCGAGUGAACCAUGGUUAAGGAACUCGGCAAAAUGCCCCCGUAACUUCGGGAGAAGGGGGGCCGGAUGCGUUACAUGGCUUGCCCAUGGAAGCGUUGAUGGCCGCAGAGACCAGGCCCAAGCGACUGUUUACUAAAAACACAGGUCCGUGCGAAGAAGUAAUUCGAUGUAUACGGACUGACGCCUGCCCGGUGCUGGAACGUUAAGGGGACAGGUUAGCUGGUUUAGGCCGGCGAAGCUUUGAACUUAAGCGCCAGUAAACGGCGGUGGUAACUAUAACCAUCCUAAGGUAGCGAAAUUCCUUGUCGGGUAAGUUCCGACCUGCACGAAUGGCGUAACGACUUGGGCGCUGUCUCAACCAUGGACUCGGCGAAAUUGCAUUACGAGUAAAGAUGCUCGUUACGCGCAGCAGGACGGAAAGACCCCGGGACCUUUACUACAACUUGGUAUUGGUGGUCGGUACAACUUGUGUAGGAUAGGUGGGAGACUGUGAAAUCCGGACGCCAGUUCGGGUGGAGUCAUCGUUAAAAUACCACUCUGGUUGUUCUGGCUGUCUAACUUCGGUCCAUUAUCUGGAUCAGGGACAGUGCCUGGUGGGUAGUUUGACUGGGGCGGUCGCCUCCUAAAAGGUAACGGAGGCGCUCAAAGGUUCCCUCAGCCUGGUUGGCAAUCAGGUGUCGAGUGUAAGUGCACAAGGGAGCUUGACUGUGAGACAGACAUGUCGAGCAGGGACGAAAGUCGGAACUAGUGAUCCGGCGGUGGCAUGUGGGAGCACCGUCGCUCAACGGAUAAAAGGUACCCCGGGGAUAACAGGCUGAUCUUCCCCAAGAGUCCAUAUCGACGGGAUGGUUUGGCACCUCGAUGUCGGCUCGUCGCAUCCUGGGGCUGGAGUAGGUCCCAAGGGUUGGGCUGUUCGCCCAUUAAAGCGGCACGCGAGCUGGGUUUAGAACGUCGUGAGACAGUUCGGUCCCUAUCCGCUGCGCGCGCAGGAGACUUGAGAAGGGCUGCCCCUAGUACGAGAGGACCGGGGUGGACGAACCUCUGGUGUGCCAGUUGUUCCGCCAGGAGCACGGCUGGUUGGCUACGUUCGGGAGUGAUAACCGCUGAAAGCAUCUAAGCGGGAAGCACGCUUCAAGAUGAGGUCUCCCACCGAGUUAAUCGGGUAAGGCCCCCAGUAGACCACUGGGUUGAUAGGCCAGAGGUGGAAGCGCCGUAAGGUGUGGAGCUGACUGGUACUAAUAGGCCGAGGGCUUGUCUCG